AUUUGUGUCUGCAAUUAAUUAUCUGUUUUGAUUAUGGGGUUAAUUUUCUUAAUCCUACGUUUUGAUUAUGGUUUUAGUUUGGAGAUUGGUGUUCUGAUUAGGGUUCCUAAAGGUGGAAAUUUGGUUGAGGGGUUUCUUCUGUUGUAGUUCAAGAAAUUCCAGGUAUUGAAAUUCCAUUUGAAAAUUCCGGAGCAUUCGACACUGACUAGCAAGUGUGAGUGGUCUGCCGUCAAAUUGCAGGUACAUUAAUGUUCUUGUGUUCUAAUAUAUGUUCAAGAUUCAAUGAGCUUGAGGUUGGGGCAUUUGAGAUGACUUACCUUGUGCCGGAUCAUCCUCCAUGUGUACUAGAGACCGACUUAGAUGUGCGUGUAAUGUAUCUGUCCGUGAUGAAUGAGAAGAAAUAUACAGUUACAAUUGCUAUUAAGGAGUUUUUAUUUCCUGAGAAGCAAAACGGUGUUGAUGAUAUGUUUUGUGGUGAUGGUAAUACGCAUAAUUGGGAAAUAUGCAGCACCUUCUGGUCAUACAUACUUGUCUCAUUCUUGGAAGAACUACAUCAAUUAUGUGGGUCAGAAUAGUGAUUGUUGUACAUGAUCCUGUUUUUGUUUUUGUUUUUUUUUUUUUUAUACUUCUGUAUAGUGAUUGUUAGUUGGAUGGUUAAA